CGCCAUCUUGUGACGGGCUCUGCGCGGAGUUCCCGCCCCGCGUGCCGGCCGGGAAGUUCGGUAGCCCGGGGCGCUUGCGGUCCAGGGAUGUGUCCUCGUUCCGGUCUGCGGGUGUGCAGGGAAUAAGGGAAAUGCCAUGAACUAUGUGGGCCAAAUGAAAGAGAAUACUAAAGGAUUCUGGUAAGACAAUCUAAAUGAGUAGCCUGAAACCUGGCUUCCAGGAGAUUCUCUGCCUGGGUUCUUCAGUCUACAGUCUGAAAUGAAUGCAUGCCACAGCCCCUGUUUCACUGGAAGCUUUAAUAAAUUCUCCAUCUAGCAACAUCUGUUUAUGAAACAUAAGACUGUCAGGUCAUUAAGGCAAGUUCCUUGCUCAGCUUGACUAAAACUGGCCAGAGAUUCAUGGAUUGUGACAGGAAGCCCUGGCUUGCAUGACAUGUGUAACAUGUCACUAUCCAGACCUGGACACUCUCUGCAUAAUGUGUGUAUCCAGACAUACAAAUAUACAGAGCAUGCUUUCUCCUUUAGGGAAGGAGGAAAAUUUUCAGCUCACUGCUUACUACAAAACUUGUGGAGGACUACAGUACAGGCAGAGCCCUCAAAUCUCAGGAAGAGAGCAGAACAUAAAGCAGACGUGCUUCUACUGUGUGGUAAAUGUCAGUCUGAUACUGUCAGAGGUACUGAUAGCCAACAAGCGAAGUUGUGUGCUGACCUGUCGGUGCCAGCCAGCUGUCUGACAGGCUUUUGGUUCCAGUGACUGACCUGAGAGAAGAGCUGACCAGCUGCACUGGAGGCAAGAGAGAAAGAAGUAAAUGAAAGCACAAAGUGGCUGUGUCGUACCCUGCCGUACAUGUCCCUGUAUGCCUCGGCAAUCAUAAGCCGCUGGGAGUUGCAACGCUGAGUUAGGAUAUCAAUCAACACAUCUUUUUCACAACCUGUAAAGGAAA